ACCUGAUCAGGUAGUGACGGUAUCCAACCAGAAGGCCAGGGCUAACUACGUGCCAGCAGCCGCGGUAAUACGUAGGUGGCAAGCGUUGUCCGGAUUUAAUGGGCGUAAAGCGAGCGCAGGCGUUUUCUUAAGUCUGAUGUGAAAGCUUUCGGCUCAACCGAAGAAGUGCAUCGGAAACUGGGAAACUUGAGUGCAGAAGAGGACAGUGGAACUCCAUGUGUAGCGGUGAAAUGCGUAGAUAUAUGGAAGAACACCAGUGGCGAAGGCGGCUGUCUGGUCUGUAACUGACGCUGAGGCUCGAAAGCAUGGGUAGCAAACAGGAUUAGAUACCCUGGUAGUCCAUGCCGUAAACGAUGAGUGCUAGGUGUUGGAGGGUUUCCGCCCUUCAGUGCCGCAGCUAACGCAUUAAGCACUCCGCCUGGGGAGUACGACCGCAAGGUUGAAACUCAAAGGAAUUGACGGGGGCCCGCACAAGCGGUGGAGCAUGUGGUUUAAUUCGAAGCAACGCGAAGAACCUUACCAGGUCUUGACAUCCUUUGACCACUCUAGAGAUAGAGCUUUCCCUUCGGGGACAAAGUGACAGGUGGUGCAUGGUUGUCGUCAGCUCGUGUCGUGAGAUGUUGGGUUAAGUCCCGCAACGAGCGCAACCCUUAUUACUAGUUGCCAGCAUUUAGUUGGGCACUCUAGUGAGACUGCCGGUGACAAACCGGAGGAAGGUGGGGACGACGUCAAAUCAUCAUGCCCCUUAUGACCUGGGCUACACACGUGCUACAAUGGAUGGUACAACGAGUUGCGAGACCGCGAGGUUUAGCUAAUCUCUUAAAACCAUUCUCAGUUCGGAUUGUAGGCUGCAACUCGCCUACAUGAAGCCGGAAUCGCUAGUAAUCGCGGAUCAGCAUGCCGCGGUGAAUACGUUCCCGGGCCUUGUACACACCGCCCGUCACACCAUG
rnacentral:rRNA from 2 species